GUAAAAUAAUGGGUCAAAGGUCAGACUUCAGCCAGUCCAGACUCCAAAGACUUCACUUGCUUGUUGGUAGAGUGAGGGAGAUGUGAAGUUUACCUUUGGGAGCGGCUCCAGUAGGAAUCCAAUGGCCAAUGUGACGAUCAUCACUAUGAUAGCUGACAGUAAACCAGCUAUCUGAAAAAGGACAGAACAGGAUAGCUAAAGACAGGAAAGAGGACGAGAGGAGAGAGAGGACGACAUGCAGCAAAGGGAAGCAGGUUGGAAUCAUACGCUGGGCUGCUGUGGUGAGGACUGAGCCUCGGUACGUGGGGCACACACUCAACCAGGUCAGUGGUGUUUUCAGACGUGGCCCAUCAGAGGGAGGAAACGCAGUGGUUAUGCCUCCAACCACAGACGCGUGGUGAGCAGUCGUCAACCAGUGGUUAGUGGUGUUUCACGUUUAUGUUUUUGUUCCUUUCCAAGCCCUCAACUCACACUCAAAUAGAGUGUUGUAGGAUGUUUGCUGAAGGAACUCAACAUUGAGCUUGUGCCAGAAGAUGCGGGCUGGUUUAACAGAGAUGGAUUGAUAUAUAAAUAACUGCAAUUUUGUUUCAUUGUUGCGGAGGCCCCUGGAGUGAUUACAG